UCUGCCCGGACAGCAGAAUGUCUUCCAGCCAAGACACCCUGGUGGUCUGUGAGGCUGUAGCCCACAGAGAAUCUGCCCGGAACCGACUGAUGGAGACGCCGGUAGAUUGUUGCCUUUGAUAACUGUAUGCAGCAAAGACCUGUUAUGUGUGACCAGGAAAAGCCUUAUCUAGAGGCUUUGGAGAAAACAAUCAGCAGCAAU